GGGUGACCGGGCAGGCAGCCGGGACCGGCUGGAGUCGGCGGCCAGGCAGCAGUGGAAUGGGCACAAGGGAGGGGCUGGUUGGAAGUGGGAGGAACAACCCCCACCAAACCCAGAGCCGAAAACUGAGGGAGUUUUACAGACAGGACGGAGCUCCUGCACCUCAGAGCCUCAGUUGGGAAUGACCUGGGGUCUUGUCCUGAAGCUGAGUCUGGUGAACAUGCCCCAUUUGUAGCAUGAGAGGUACUUCUCUGGAGGGACUGUAUGUUGACAGUGGCAGAGUGGAGCCCUCAGGUCCACCUGAGUGAAUAUACCAGGGCUUGAGAA